rnacentral:rRNA from 1 species
CGAACGCGAAAGUGGAGCAAUCCAUGAGUAGAGUGGCAAACGGGUGAGUAACGCGUGGGCGACCUACCUCUGAGUGGGGGAUAACCUUCCGAAAGGAGGGCUAAUACCGCAUGACAUCCCGUGUUUGGAUACACGGACAUCAAAGCCGGGGAUCGCAAGACCUGGCGCUUGGAGAGGGGCCCGCGUCCGAUUAGCUAGUUGGUGAGGUAACGGCUCACCAAGGCUCCGAUCGGUAUCCGGCCUGAGAGGGCGGACGGACACACUGGAACUGAGACACGGUCCAGACUCCUACGGGAGGCAGCAGUGGGGAAUUGUUCGCAAUGGGCGCAAGCCUGACGACGCAACGCCGCGUGGAGGAUGAAGACUUUCGGGUCGUAAACUCCUUUCGACCGAGAUGAAUUCCCGCCGGCCUAACACGUCGGCGGGGUGACAGUAUCGAGGGAAGAAACCCCGGCUAACUCCGUGCCAGCAGCCGCGGUAAUACGGGGGGGGUAAGCGUUGUUCGGAAUUACUGGGCGUAAAGGGUUUGUAGGUGGCUUGCUAAGUCAGACGUGAAAUCCCUCAGCUUAACUGGGGAACUGCGUCUGAUACUGGCGAGCUUGAGUGCAGGAGAGGAACGCGGAAUUCCAGGUGUAGCGGUGAAAUGCGUAGAUAUCUGGAGGAACACCGGUGGCGAAGGCGGCGUUCUGGACUGCAACUGACACUGAAAAACGAAAGCCAGGGGAGCAAACGGGAUUAGAUACCCCGGUAGUCCUGGCCCUAAACGAUGAAUGCUUGGUGUGGCGGGUAUCGAUCCCUGCCGUGCCGAAGUUAACGCGUUAAGCAUUCCGCCUGGGGA